rnacentral:rRNA from 1 species
AACGUAGGUGGCGAGCGUUAUCCGGAUUUACUGGGCGUAAAGCGUGUGCAGGCGGGUGGUCAAGUGGUGUAUGAAAGCACUGCGCUCAACGCAGUGACGGUAGGCCAGACUGACCAUCUGGAGGGCGAGAGAGGGAUGCGGAAUUCCAGGUGUAGCGGUGAAAUGCGUAGAUAUCUGGAGGAACACCGGUGGCGAAGGCGGCAUCCUGGACCAAUUCUGACACUGAGGAGCGAAAGCCAGGGGAGCAAACAGG